rnacentral:rRNA from 1 species
CGUUUCUUGAUUAUAUAAGAAAUUUAACCUGCCCACUGAAGAAUUUUGAAGGGCCGCAGUAUUUUGACUGUGCAAAGGUAGCAUAAUCAUUAGUCUUUUAAUUGAGGGCUUGUAUGAAUGGUUGGACGAGGCAAAUUCUGUUUUAUAAUAAUAUGUUGAAUUUUGAUUUUGAGUAAAAAGACUUAAAUGAUAUUAAGGGACGAGAAGACCCUAUAGAGUUUAAUAAUUAAUUUUUUUAAUUGAGUUUAUAAAUGAUUUUUGGUUAAAUAAAUUAUUUAUUUAAUUGGGGUGAUUAAAAGAUAAAGUAAACUCUUUUUUAGUUUAAAUAUAAAUUAAUAAUUUUAUGAUCCAUUAUGAAUGAUUAAAAGAUUAAAUUACCUUAGGGAUAACAGCAUAAUUUCUUUUAAGAGUUCUUAUCGAAAAGGAAGAUUGUGACCUCGAUGUUGGAUUAAGAUUUAAUUUGGGUGUAGAUGUUCAAAUAUUAGGUCUGUUCGACCUUUAAAAUCUUACA